rnacentral:sRNA from 1 species
AUGAACUGCUGGAUUCAGUUUGCAAGUACUUUGUUAAGGAUUUUUGCAUAAAUGUUUGUCAAGGAUAUUGACCUAAAGUUUUGUUGUUGCCAGGUUUUGGUAUCAGGAUGAUGCUGGCCUCAUAGAAUGAGCUGGGGAGGGGCCUUUCCUCCUCAAUUUUUUGGAAUAAUUUCAGUAGGAAUGGGACCAGCUCUUCUUUGUUCAUCUGAUAGAAUUCAGCUGUGGAUCCUUCUUGUCCUGCGCUUUAUUUUGUUGAGAGUUGCCCAAGGAAGUCAACAGGAGAGCCAGGUCAGGAAACAGCAACCAGAGGGAGAUGAUCACCUGAACCACUGCUCCAAACCAUGGGCAGUAAAUGCUGUAAAGGUGGUCCAGAUGAAGAUGCAGUAGAAAGACAGAGACGGCAGAAGG